rnacentral:lncRNA from 1 species
CAGAAAGGAGAAGCCAGAGUAUACUUGUAAAAUAUCCUUCAUGGAUCAUUUAUCCAAUAACUAUUGUGAUCUACCUACCCACUAAGCCACUUGGUAGGUGGGUGCACAUGGCUUGGCUGUAAUGUGAGCAGUUGGCCCUAGGAGAAUGCCACCUGGGUAUUAAAAGUACUGCCUACGUGGUAGGUGGUAGUGGAGGGCAUUUGGGUUCACAGGGAGCAGAGGCAGCCUACCCCAAUAACAGCAUAACUGGGUAGAACAGGUUUGGGGAACACUCAUUCUCCAGCCAGUGGGAAUGGCUCUCUCUGCUCAUUUGGAUAUGGGGUGGAAUGUGAGAAGUGGAGGCCUCUCUGCAGAUAAGGAUUGCAUGCUACAUAUAAUGUCCUGUGUUGCUGACUAGAAACCAGAGGGGCUUUUGACCUGUGCUAAGUAACCACACAGAUUCAUUCCUAAGAGUGUUUCGAGUAAAGGACAAGAGGUAGAAAGUUAAUUGCCUGUUUCAAUUUCACUUGAGGUUUCCCUAAAUUCUAAUUAGCAAUAAAUGAGCCUGACUUGCUCCAACCUGAGUUGUAAGAGUGCUUUCUUGUCUGAGUCCCUGUGUGUGUCUAAGCAAGAAUAAGGAAAGUUUCAGGGUAGAUUUGUAAAGCUGGAAGCCUUGACAUACGAUUCAGUAAAAGUAAAGUCUGUAGCCAUCUGUAGUUAAAAGCCUACGGGUGAA